AGUUUGUCGAAUUGUGAGCACAGUCCGGCUAAUCUCGAAGAUCGAAAUUGUUAAUGUUGUAGAUCUUGUCAAGAAGAUGAACAGUGUUGAAGAUGACGUUGAUCGGGUUCUGAAUUUUACGUAAUCGGAGAUGAUCAGAGUGAAUUCUUUGUUAUGAAAAUAGGUUUGGCCAUACUGGAUCGAACCCAUUUUAUCAAAGAAUAAAUUCACUCCGACGAAGAGAGAGAGAGAGAGAUUUGUUCGGGGUCUCACUCCUCCAUCGUCACUUCUAAUCUUCCAUCCUUCAACCCUAUUGAUAACCAGUAAGCUAAUUUUGAAGUUUUUUUUAAGCUUUUAAUUGUUCUACGGCAAUAAUAUCGCGUGAUUUCUUGUUCCAUUGCCUGUUUAAAUUGAGGCUAUUUACUGAUGUUGCAAGCACUGGUUUUUGCUAUAGAUUUGAAGUUCUUAGAAUGGAAAUGAUUAUCCCUUGAAGUUGUUGGCGAGAUGGUUCGAAUUCCCAAUGUUAUAUUUCCCAAUGUGUUCACUUUGGAUUGCUAUCUUAGACCAUUGAAACAUCAGGGCUGAUCAUGUUGUUUUCGAGCAAGAUGCUUCAGCUGGAAAUGUGGGAAACAUGAAAGUGCUGGAGUAGAAGAAAGCAAAUCCAGUGACCUUGCUUCUCUCUUCAGCCAUGAUGCUGAGACAUCUCCUAUUCCCAUUAUUUGCUGAUCGAAUAGAAGCUGCUGUCAAACGGGUUACAUCCGACUGAGGGAAAGUACCGGACAAAGGACCUUGGUGGUGAUAGCUCCACCCUGGAAGUCAUUGAUGCCGUCCUUGGAGCUUUAGACUGUAAAGACGAUAAAUUUUCUGCUACACACAGUUUCCUGUAACACUGUCCAUUGGUCCAGGGGUUAAAAGCUGCUUGUUUUUCCCAACUGAUAAUUUCUCUUCCAUUAUUUGUUAGGUAUUCUCAGUUCACUUAAUUAUGUCUUGGUUGUUUGAUUAUGAAAUCCAAAACAAAGAAUAUUAUGUUGAUUCGAAUAAUGACCUUUCAAGGGUCAAAUUUUCUUAUAGUGAAAUUUCAGACUCUCUACGCAUUUGGUAUCGAGGAAAAUAGGAAUUCAGAAAGGGUUCACA